rnacentral:rRNA from 1 species
GAUGAACGCUGGCGGCGUGCCUAAUACAUGCAAGUCGAACGCAUAGCGAAAGGUGCUUGCACCUUUCAAGUGAGUGGCGAACGGGUGAGUAACACGUGGACAACCUGCCUCAAGGCUGGGGAUAACAUUUGGAAACAGAUGCUAAUACCGAAUAAAACUUAUUGUCGCAUGACCCAAAGUUAAAAGGCGCUUCGGCGUCACCUAGAGAUGGAUCCGCGGUGCAUUAGUUAGUUGGUGGGGUAAAGGCCUACCAAGACAAUGAUGCAUAGCCGAGUUGAGAGACUGAUCGGCCACAUUGGGACUGAGACACGGCCCAAACUCCUACGGGAGGCUGCAGUAGGGAAUCUUCCACAAUGGGCGAAAGCCUGAUGGAGCAACGCCGCGUGUGUGAUGAAGGCUUUCGGGUCGUAAAGCACUGUUGUAUGGGAAGAACAGCUAGAAUAGGAAAUGAUUUUAGUUUGACGGUACCAUACCAGAAAGGGACGGCUAAAUACGUG